rnacentral:rRNA from 1 species
CAAUAGCGUAUAUUAAAGCUGUUGCGGUUAAAAAGCUCGUAGUUGGAUUUCUGUCAAGUACAACUGGUCCGCCCUCCGGGUGAGCACAUAGUUUGGUCUUGGCAUCUUGCUGGAAAUUGUUGCUGCACUUGGCUGUGUGGCGCAGUGUCCAGCACUUUCACUUUGAGGAAAUUGGAGUGUUUCAAGCAGGCAAUGCCUUUGAACACAGUAGCAUGGAAUAAUUAGAUUGGGCUUUUGCUCCAAUUUGUCGGUUUCUGGAGCUGAGGUGAGAAUUAAUGGGGAUUGUUGGGGGCAUCCGAAUUUAGCCGUCAGAGGUGAAAUUCUUGGAUCGGCUAAAGACGGACAACUGCGAAAGCGUUUGCCAAGGAUGUUUUCAUUG